UUUUAUUGCAAAACAUGUAGAAAUAGACCGCGUGUUGUUGUUGCUUGAAAUUUGCAGUCUCCAAAUUCUUUUCUACUGAUUCUCUCUUGACCAGACUCCAACAGUGUUUUAUUCACCUUUACAACACUUAAACUGCCCAUGUUAAAGCCUCCACAUGGUAAAAUCCAAAGUGAGUGAGUGCUGGAACCAGCUUUCACAGGCCCAUGAGAGCCAAAUGGUCUCACUCUGUUUCCCGGGCUAGAGUGCAGAGGUACAAUCAGGGAUCAAUGGAACCUCCAUCUCCCAGGUCCAAGCAAACCUCCCACCUCAGCCUCCCGAG
rnacentral:lncRNA from 1 species